rnacentral:rRNA from 1 species
UACGUAGGUGGCAAGCGUUGUCCGGAAUUACUGGGUGUAAAGGGAGCGUAGGCGGGAGUGCAAGUUGAAUGUGAAAACUAUGGGCUCAACCCAUAGUUGCGUUCAAAACUGCAUUUCUUGAGUGAAGUAGAGGUAAGCGGAAUUCCUAGUGUAGCGGUGAAAUGCGUAAAUAUUAGGAGGAACACCAGUGGCGAAGGCGGCUUACUGGGCUUUAACUGACGCUGAGGCUCGAAAGCGUGGGUAGCAAACAGG